CUGGUCCAGCUUAUAUCCAGCUAGGAAGUGUUAAGGUAGUCAGAUUUCUUAUAUGACAUCUGGCUUUCCCUGGACUGAACAUCCCGAGUAGUGGGUGAAAGUGUGGCCUUUUUGACUUACCUGUGGAAGUCACAUAACAUCAUUUCCACCAUAUUUUACUGAUCAGAGCAGUCAAAAACCCAACUAGAUUCAAAGGGAAGGGAAAAUAUCCUACCUCUUAAUGUCAGGAGGGUGGAAGAAUUUGAGUGCCAUGUUUUAAAACUGCUAGAGGUAUGUAAUUAUCCCUGUUUUAUAGAUAAGCAAACUAAGAUCACAGAGCAAGUGAUAGACUUAGAAUUCAACUCAAGCAGCCUGACUCCAGAGCAGAGAAGGAAGAUGCAACAGCACUACCUCCCACGAAAGUAGGGGGAAGAGACAGAUCUCCCAAGAAAGCCUCAGAAAAUGUUAAAGACGGCAGCCUCAGCCCCUCAGGGCAAAGCCAGCUGAGGGCAAGGCAGCUGGCUCUGCUGCGCGAAGUGGAGAUGAACUGGUACUUAAAGCUCUGCGACUUGUCCACUGAGCACACCACCGCCUACGCGACGGGCAUGCCGCACAGCACUGUCACUGUGACCCAGUGUGGCUGACAUAAAUCCAAAGACCUGAAAUAUCGAGUAAUGAAUGGAAACCAGCGACAAGUGAAAAUGUGAAGAGUAAGUGAUCAUUUUGCUCUGUGCAGUGUUGUAACUUCCAUACUUC
rnacentral:lncRNA from 1 species